GAUGAAGAACGUAGCGAAAUGCGAUAAGUAAUGUGAAUUGCAGAAUUCAGUGAAUCAUCGAAUCUUUGAACGCACAUUGCGCCCGUCAGUAUUCUGGCGGGCAUGCCUGUUCGAGCGUCAUUACGCCCCUCAAGUCCCCUGUGGACUUGGUGUUGGGGAUCGGCGAGGCUGGUUUUCCAGCACAGCCGUCCCUUAAAUUAAUUGGCGGUCUCGCCGUGGCCCUCCUCUGCGCAGUAGUAAAACACUCGCAACAGGAGCCCGGCGCGGUCCACUGCCGUAAACCCCCCAACUUUUUAUAGUUGACCUCGAAUCAGGUAGGACUACCCGCUGAACUUAAGCAUAUCAAUAAGCGGAGGA
rnacentral:misc_RNA from 1 species